GUCCACGCCGUAAACGAUGGGUGCUAGACGUUGGCGAGCUUGCUCGUCAGUGUCGCAGCUAACGCGUUAAGCACCCCGCCUGGGGAGUACGGCCGCAAGGUUGAAACUCAAAGGAAUUGACGGGGGCCCGCACAAGCGGUGGAGCAUGUGGUUCAAUUCGACGCAACGCGAAGAACCUUACCAGCCCUUGACAUGGGACUCGCCGUGACCAGAGACGGUCCCUUCGGUUCGGCCGGAGUCCGCACAGGUGCUGCAUGGCUGUCGU
rnacentral:rRNA from 1 species